rnacentral:tRNA from 1 species
GCCGCCUUAGCUCAGUUGGUUAGAGCGCCAGAUUGUGGCUCUGGAGGUCCUCAGUUCGAACCUGAGAGGUGGUACCA